rnacentral:rRNA from 1 species
UACGUAGGGUGCAAGCGUUGUCCGGAAUUAUUGGGCGUAAAGAGCUCGUAGGCGGCUUGUCACGUCGGUUGUGAAAGCCCGGGGCUUAACCCCGGGUCUGCAGUCGAUACGGGCUAGCUAGAGUGUGGUAGGGGAGAUCGGAAUUCCUGGUGUAGCGGUGAAAUGCGCAGAUAUCAGGAGGAACACCAGCGGCGAAGGCGGCGCUCUGGGCUGGAACUGACGCUGAACUGCGAAAGCCAGGGGAGCGAACGGG